rnacentral:rRNA from 1 species
CAUUAAAGAGUUCUAUAACUCCCAAACCCAUGUGAACAUACCUAACGUUGCCUCGGCAGGUCGCACCUACCUUGUAGCACCCUACCCUGUAGGGCCUACCCGGGAGAUGCGGGUAAGCCUGCCGGCGGCCCACCAAACUCUGUUUGAUAUUGAAUUCUGAACAUAUAACUAAAUAAGUUAAAACUUUCAACAACGGAUCUCUUGGUUCUGGCAUCGAUGAAGAACGCAGCGAAAUGCGAUAAGUAAUGUGAAUUGCAGAAUUCAGUGAAUCAUCGAAUCUUUGAACGCAUAUUGCGCCCAUUAGUAUUCUAGUGGGCAGGACCGUUCGAGCGUCAUUUCGACCCUUAAGCCUUAGUUGCUUAGUGUUGGGAGCCUACGGCAACGUAGCUCCUCAAAGUUAGUGGCGGAGUUGGUUCACACUCUAGACGUAGUAAUUUUUAUCUCGCCUAUUAGUUGGACUGAUCCCCUGCCGUAAAACCCCCAACUUAUCAAGGUUGACCUCGAAUCGGUUCAGACAAACUCGCUAAAUUGAAGCAUCUUAGUCAGCGAAGGAAAAGAAACCAACAGGGAUUGCCCUAGUAACGGCGAGUGAAGCGGCAACAGCUCAAAUUUGAAAUCUGGCCCUCGGGUCCGAGUUGUAAUUUGUAGAGGAUGCUUU